UAAAUUUACAGCAUGUACGGAGCAUUGGAGGACUCGGAGGAGUAUAAUAUUCAAGAGUUUCAGAACACUGCACGCUAAGGUUCAGAACACUGCACGCUAAGGGAUGAAGAUCUUCUUUGCCAUGGACUUGCAUUAAAUGAUGAUUUGCAGCAUGUCCUAUCCAAACAUGAUGCUCUUAAUGCAGGUGUUGCUGUUCAUAUGUAGAAAACAAAGUCUCUUCAGGCACUUAAUGAAGAUAUUCCUCCUCUUCAUGGACAAGCACUCUGCAAGUCCUAUUGCUCAAGGAUUCGGGAGGCUUGUCAAUCUUUGACGCCAUUGGUACCUUCUGUCAUCAACUAUUUGUAAUUAAUGAUACAAAUUUGAGAUUGUUGUUUCUAGUUUUCUUGAUGUAAUCUGUUUUUGAGACUUUAUGUACUUGGGUAUGCAAGAGGAAGUUUGUAAAUUAACGCUUUUAGCGCUCAAGGGGAAAUGGAAAAAUAGACUUUUAUGUUGA